rnacentral:lncRNA from 1 species
UUGGCACCUGAAGGACUCUAAUCAGAAGCCCACGAUCCAACAGCAGCUAUGACCUGCUUAGCAUUAUCUUACCUUCCAUCAGGUCCAGAGGGCUUGGGGGCGUGCGAAUUAGCAUAAGGGGUAUGAAAAAUGCUCAUCUCGGGAGAUGGUGAAAUUAGUGGCAGUAACAUGUGAAUGACCCCACGAUUAGUGUGGAUUGGCUGGUGACAGUGUACGGGCACCUCUGAGGUGACCAGAACACGGGAGGAGCCCAGGACCAAAGACUCCACCUGCUUCUUGUGUCCAGAUGCCCUUGGAAGAUUUUGUUGCCUGAACUGACCAGAAGGGAGGCCGAAUUCUGAAUCUUGCCAUCAGCACCCGGUUGCACCAGCCUGGUCCAGGGAGGGCUUCUUGGCACCUGAGAUGCUUCAGAGCUGGGUUGCCACCCGACCCAGACGGGGGACCCGCUCUGGCACCUUCUUGCCGAUGGCACCAUCUGCCUGUGUGUGCGUUUGCCGGGGGCUCAGCGGGCAAGGGCGGGCUCGGGACGUGAGCCACAGCAGUAGUCGUUCCACCGCGUGCCACACGCCCACGCCAAUGACUCCAGCGGCCGACGAUGGGGACGGGUUGAAUCACAGGCCAUUGGGUGAUGGAUGUCUAUGCUGUCUUUAAAUUGUCUACUGAGUUCAGUGACAAGCGGAUAUGAAGAGACAAGGUCUGUAAGUACUAUAUACGGUAAAAUUUCCACUUCGUUAUAAAAUACCCUCAUAGGAAAGUGCUGGAAGGCAGCCAGCCAAAACACCUGAGAGGACAAAUAGUAGAGGGUGAAAUUUAAUGACUUUGGUCUUAAUACAUCUGAGAUUGACCGUGGUGGGCACGGUUGGCAGAAGGACAGCUCCCGGAGAUGUCUGCGUCCUCAUCUUUGGAACCUGUGCACAUGGUACAAAGGGGACUUUACAGAUGUGAUUAAACCAAGGAUCUUGUUAUGGGGAGAAUCUUCUGGAUCAUCAAGGUGGGCCCAAAGCAAUGACAUGUGAAAGGAGGAGGCAGGAGCGCAGGUUGUUGAAGGAGAUGUGAGUCACUGCUGGCGUUGAAGACGUAAGGAGGCUGCGAACCAAGGAACACGGGCUGCCCCCAGGAGCCGGAACCAUUCCAGACGGAAUGUGGCCCUGCUGGUACCUUGAUUUUGGUCCUGUGAGACCUAAUUUCCCCCUUCUGAUUUCUGGAACUCUAGGCUAAUAAACGUGUUGUUUUAAGCCA